rnacentral:rRNA from 1 species
GGCUCAGAACGAACGCUGGCGGCGUGCCUAACACAUGCAAGUCGAACGGGAGUCAAGGGGCUUGCUCCUGGUUUAGUGGCGCACGGGUGAGUAACGCGUGGAUAAUCUGCCCUGGUGUCCGGGAUAACAUUUCGAAAGGGGUGCUAAUACCGGAUAAGCCCACGAGGUCUUCGGACCACGGGGGAAAAGGUGGCCUCUAUUUAUAAGCUACUGUAUCAGGAUGAGUCCGCGUACCAUUAGCUAGUUGGCGGGGUAAAGGCCCACCAAGGCGACGAUGGUUAGCUGGUCUGAGAGGAUGAUCAGCCACACUGGAACUGAGACACGGUCCAGACUCCUACGGGAGGCAGCAGUGGGGAAUUUUGCGCAAUGGGGGAAACCCUGACGCAGCAACGCCGCGUGAGUGAAUGAAGGCCUUCGGGUCGUAAAGCUCUGUCAGAGGGAAAGAAGUGUAUUGCGGCUAAUACCCGUGAUACUUGACGGUACCCUCAAAGGAAGCACCGGCUAACUCCGUGCCAGCCGCGGC